rnacentral:rRNA from 1 species
GACGAACGCUGGCGGCGUGCUUAACACAUGCAAGUCGAACGGAAAGGCCCUGCUUGCAGGGUGCUCGAGUGGCGAACGGGUGAGUAACACGUGGGUGAUCUGCCCCUUACUUUGGGAUAAGCCUGGGAAACUGGGUCUAAUACUGGAUAGGACCAUGCUGUAGGUGGUGUGGUGGAAAGAUUAGUUUCGGUAAGGGAUGAGCUCGCGGCCUAUCAGCUUGUUGGUGGGGUAAUGGCCUACCAAGGCGUCGACGGGUAGCCGGCCUGAGAGGGUGGAAGGCCACAUUAGGACGGCGAUACGGCCCAGACUCCUACGGGAGGCAGCAGUGGGGAAUAUUGCACAAUGGGCGCAAGCCUGAUGCAGCGACGCCGCGUGGGGGAUGACGGCCUUCGGGUUGUAAACUCCUUUCAGCCAUGACGAAGCCCUUGUGGUGACGGUAGUGGUAGAAGAAGCACCGGCUAACUACGUG